rnacentral:rRNA from 1 species
AUUGAACGCUGGCGGCAGGCUUAACACAUGCAAGUCGAACGAGUGGCGGACGGGUGAGUAAUGCUUGGGCAUCUAGCUCAUGGAGGGGGAUAACUACGGGGAACUGUCGCUAAUACCGCGUACCAUAGGUUGAGCCCAAGUGGGAUUAGGUAGUUGGGGGGGUAAAGGCUCACCAAGCCGACGAUAUCUAGCUGGUCUGAGAGGAUGACCGGCCACACGGGGACUGCGACACGGCCCAGACUCCUACGGGAGGAGGAGGUGGGGAAUAUUGCGCAAUGGGGGCAACCUGACGCAGCCAUGCGGCGUGAAUGAGGAAGGCCUUCGGGUGUUAAAGUUCUUUCGGUAGGGAGGCGUUAACGACAGAAGAAGCACCGGCUAACUCCGUGCCAGCAGCCGCGGUAAUAC